rnacentral:rRNA from 1 species
UGAGUAACGCGUGAGGAACCUGCCUUCCAGAGGGGGACGAACAGUUGGAAACGACUGCUAAUACCGCAUGACACAUGACCGUGGCAUCACGGACAUGUCAAAGAUUUAUCGCUGGAAGAUGGCCUCGCGUCUGAUUAGCUGGUAGGCGGGGUAACGGCCCACCUAGGCGACGAUCAGUAGCCGGACUGAGAGGUUGACCGGCCACAUUGGGACUGAGAUACGGCCCAGACUCCUACGGGAGGCAGCAG